AUUGAACGCUGGCGGCAUGCCUUACACAUGCAAGUCGAACGGCAGCGCGGGAGCACUCCUGGCGGCGAGUGGCGAACGGGUGAGUAAUAUAUCGGAACGUGCCCAGUAGUGGGGGAUAGCCCGGCGAAAGCCGGAUUAAUACCGCAUACGACCUACGGGUGAAAGGGGGGGAUCGGAAGACCUCUCGCUAUUGGAGCGGCCGAGAUCAGAUUAGGUAGUGGGUGGGGUAAAGGCCUACCAAGCCUGCGAUCGGUAGUUGGUCUGAGAGGACGACCAGCCACACUGGGACUGAGACACGGCCCAGACUCCUACGGGAGGCAGCAGUGGGGAAUUUUGGACAAUGGGCGCAAGCCUGAUCCAGCAAUGCCGCGUGCAGGAAGAAGGCCUUCGGGUUGUAAACUGCUUUUGUCAGGGAAGAAAUCCUCUAGGCUAAUACCUUGGGGGGAUGACGGUACCUGAAGAAUAAGCACCGGCUAACUACGUGCCAGCCGCCGCAGUAAGAC
rnacentral:rRNA from 1 species